rnacentral:rRNA from 1 species
GAUGAACGCUGGCGGCGUGCCUAAUACAUGCAAGUCGAGCGAACAGACGAGGAGCUUGCUCCUUCGACGUUAGCGGCGGACGGGUGAGUAACACGUAGGUAACCUACCUAUAAGACUGGGAUAACUUCGGGAAACCGGAGCUAAUACCGGAUAAUAUUUCGAACCGCAUGGUUCGAUAGUGAAAGAUGGCUUUGCUAUCACUUAUAGAUGGACCUGCGCCGUAUUAGCUAGUUGGUAAGGUAACGGCUUACCAAGGCAACGAUACGUAGCCGACCUGAGAGGGUGAUCGGCCACACUGGAACUGAGACACGGUCCAGACUCCUACGGGAGGCAGCAGUAGGGAAUCUUCCGCAAUGGGCGAAAGCCUGACGGAACAACGCCGCGUGAGUGAUGAAGGUCUUCGGAUCGUAAAACCCUGUUAUUAGGGAAGAACAAACGUGUAAGUAACUGUGCACGUCUUGACGGUACCUAAUCAGAAAGCCACGGCUAACUACGUG